GCAGCAGCCGCGGUAAUGCGUAGGUGGCAAGCGUUGUCCGGAAUUAUUGGGCGUAAAGGGCUCGCAGGCGGUUUCUUAAGUCUGAUGUGAAAGCCCCCGGCUCAACCGGGGAGGGUCAUUGGAAACUGGGAAACUUGAGUGCAGAAGAGGAGAGUGGAAUUCCACGUGUAGCGGUGAAAUGCGUAGAGAUGUGGAGGAACACCAGUGGCGAAGGCGACUCUCUGGUCUGUAACUGACGCUGAGGAGCGAAAGCGUGGGGAGCGAACAGGAUUAGAUACCCCUGUAGUCCCUGUCUCUUAUAC
rnacentral:rRNA from 1 species